UCGGGCAUGCGCACUGUCACCCCCUGCGCCCUCCAGUCAAGAUGGAUGUCGCUGAUCCGCCGAGCAGCCUGUCACCGGUUCAAACGUCGCGCCAGUAAGCUCCCACCGUGCAUCCAAAUCUGUUCUGAAUGCGUUUACCAAAUCUCCAAUGCAUUUCCUCCGCGGACCCUGAGGGUAAUCACACUCGUAGUGACGUGCGAAGCGAAGCUCUCCGGGGACAGCCCGUUCCAGCACUGCGCAUGCUCCAUUUCGUCUGGUCACAGCUGAUUGACGGCGGCUCUGCACCAAUAGGAACCAGUAGGCGGGGCCUGACGCCCGAGUGAACCAAUCGGCGUGAACGAGAGGCGGGGCUGUAUCCGCCCCUGUCUCUGACUGACACAGUAGCUCAUCUGGUUCCUCAAAUUCUAGGAGCUUUGCCCAACUUUUCCAAUGAACAGUAACUUUGGCAGUUUUUAAAAAAUCUGUUCGGGCUAUUCCAAAAUCUUUUGGAAAUUUACAAACAAUGCAUCCUCCAUCUCUCUGGCUGCUUGUUUUAGAAUUUGCAGGAAGCUGGAAGAACACAGAAAGUCAGGCAGGACCAGGAGAAGGGGUUCUGGAUUAUUGGUACUGGAAGAGCUCAGUAGUUCAGGCAGCAUCCAAAGUGCAGCGAGAUUGACAUUUCGGGCAAAAGCCCUUCAUCAGGAAUAAACUACCAGGAGAAGUUAAGGUUUUGGGUGUAACCCCACACCCACAGAGCCUAGUGGUGUCAAUGAUCCUCCAGCCGAAACGUUGACUUCUCCUGAUGCUACCUGGCUUCCAACCUCUUGCUUGUCUACCUUGCAGGAGCCACCAUUAAAUGUUUACUUAAAGUUUGAUGGAAUCAACAGCUACUGUCAGUGCUACUACAACAUUUAGCCCUCCCUCUGGCUGCCAAGAUGUCUCAGCAAGUGGGUUGAUUGAUUGAAUGCCUUCCCACACUCAGAACAAAUGAAAGGCUUCCUUCAGAUACAGAUUUGGGAUUGUGGCCAGGCCAUUGAAAACUGGAUUGCUCCCAGUUCAAACCAGUGUGAAGGCAGUAUGGUCGCAGUGACUUCGCUUGAUGAAGGAGCAGAUCUCUGAAAGUAUGUAGUUUCAAAUAAACCUGUUGGAAUGUAA